rnacentral:lncRNA from 1 species
CGGAAAUCACCAACUAAAAUCACCCGUUAAAAAUCGCCUUCAAAAUCUUUUACCGCUAAGCUCCCGGAAAUCGAAAAUCUUCCCAGCGAUUUCGCCAUCCCGGCACCCAAGCCGCCCUCCAUCAUUUUAUCCGUGCCCGUAAUUUCCGCCGUGUGCCGUCGCCAGACGCCGCGCGCGUGCUCCCACCACGUGCCGCGAACGCCGCCGGUCCCUCUCUUUUUCUUUCUCUUUUUCCCUCCCCUUUUCUUUUUCUU